GUUAAAAGAAAUGUGCGCUAUGGUGUUGAUGCUGAUGUCAGAUAACAGUCACCAUAUGCUUUAUAAGGGAAUUUUUAAAUAUAAUCUAAGUAUUCCCGAGUUAUGUAUGGAUUCACUGCCUAACAUAAUAACGGUUUGGUGGGAGAUCUUAGGUGCCAAUAAGGGAGUGUGAUUUACCUGAAUGAAAUAUAGGACUCACAGUGCGUGUGAGCGGUCAUUAGGGGUAAUUACUUCUCCUAGGCUCCCGAUCCCACUGUGCCAGGUAUCAAUGAAAUACUCAUCGUGACGUCACAUAGUCUUACAAUGUGGAAGGAACUGCGAAAGAAGCACGCUAUUACAAGGUUGUCGGUCCAUAUUCUUCAUAUAGAAACAACGGAUAUAUCAGAUGCUAAAACAUAAUACUAAUAGGUCUUCGUUCGGUUAAAGUUUCAAUUGGGAAAAGAGCCUGGAAAUUUUUGCAAAAAUACACUACAAGUAUUGAAUGCAGUUCUCAUCUUUUACUGAUACUUCCAUUAGAUAAAAUAAAAAUAGAUUCAGGAUUUUAUGUUAAAUCUUAUAUUUUCAGUGAUUUGUUUCCUUAAAAUAAACACAUGGAAAUAAACACAUUAAUCUAUGGAAGUUUCCUGUAUGGUGUUAAAUUAUCACGUUUUUAAUAUUCCUUAUGUUAUUUAUUUUUAGGGAUGAGUGGUAUUAAAAUUAAUGAUAGUUUGGUUCACCGUAGUUAUCCUGACAAUUAUGGUGUUUUUAAAUUCAAAACAUUAAUGUUUCUCAAUCCACAUUUAUGUAUUCCAUGUAGUGUAUAUCCUUUAGGAAGUUAUGAGAUUGAUCACUGCUCGUUACCUUCAUCUAUUCAUUGUAAAUCAGACACGCACCGUGCUGAGUGUUUAUUGGACGUGCAACCUUUCUUAGAUUUUGUCGUUUUUCCUCGAAGAUGAAAUAAAAAAAAAAAACGUAUGCGUACGCAAGUAAUUCUAAACUUAUGCUCUAACUCAGGACCGACUCUUAAUCUGACAUUUUCAGAUGCCACCCCCCCGACACACACACACACACACACACACACACACACACACACAUACAUAUAUAUAUAUAUAUAUAUAUAUGCUCAAAACGCAGAUGACAUCAUAUACAAUUUCUAUCACUCAUUUCACUUACAACUUCCGCAAUUGUUAUACAUUUGCCGAAUGUUUCCAAUGGUGUCGAGUAACAUGAACAUUUUUCAAAAUGAUUGGAAUUUUUUUUCUAAGCACACUAAUCUUCACCAAAUGGUUUUUUGUUGCAUCUGGUAGAAUUAACUGUAGCUGGUAAGUAUCUUUUUGUACAUUCCAAUGUAUAUUCUAAUAUUUCAUACAAUCACUAGCCUUUGAAUUAUUCAAUAUAAUGAGUAUAUUCCGGUUGUGAUGUCGACUUUAAUAAUACAGUUUUCACUUCCAUGAUGAUUUCGACUUUUGGAUUGAUCUAAGCACCAUUCAUCUUAUCAAUAGUACUAAGCAGAGGACAAUACAAUGGGGUUCUUGAAACAUAAGAGGAGGGGCUAGGUAUAUAAGAAUACAUCAAACUGUUUAUUUUUCUUAACAUGCACAUUAACCUCGCUUGUAAUAUUUACACUGUACACACUCGGUGACUGUGGUAAAGUUUUGAACCAAAUAUCAGAGCAAUAAAGUCUGUGCGAAUUGGAAAAAUUACAUUACCCCCCAUUUAAGCUCUUAAAAUAUUUAUUACUACAACUCAUACUUGAAAUAACCAAAACAGUCUGGUGAAAUUUCCUCAUUUAAAAAAGUAUAGAAUAAAAGUCUUACAGAUAUAUGAAAUGUCUUACAUAUUAUUUAAUGUUGAUUUUGUUUAACUUUGAUAUGGAGGGCUGAUGAUGGCUGCUGUUCUCGUGAGGUUUGGGAUCCUAGAGUCAACCAGUGUCUUGCAACGUAGGAUAUACCGGAAAAGACUGUAAACAGCAGUGCAGAUACCCCUAUUACGGGAUGCAUUGUUUGAACACGUGUCUGUGCAAUGAGAUGGAUUGUGAUUUCCAAAUCGGAUGUUUACAUUUACAAGGCUCAUCAACAACUCCAAACCAGGUUACGGAUCGGACGGAUGAUAAGAGUAUGCAUACCAUUACAUCUGGUGCUGAGAAACAUAACAAAGAAUUAACUUCGCCAAACGAUGUCAAUGAAAACCACUUACUUCACCUCGUGUUAGGAUUUGGCACCGUUUUAUUGACUUGCACUCUAGCUUAUAUCAUCCUGUGGAUAUACGCAAAAAUAAAGAACAUUCACAGCGAAGACCACGAGAGACGAUCUUUAUACGCAGAGCCUGACGAUAUUGUGACACUUCACAUAUAAGCACUCUAUUUGAAAUAUAUCUGCACACCUUGUAUGCAUUUGCUGUAAUGGACAGCACUGGAUUUGCGUCAUUCCCGAUAUUUUUGUUCUUUUUUUUUCAUUUUAUAAAAAAGUGAAGUUA